UUUUCCAAUUUUCAUAUUUUUUUUAGAAAUGUUCUAGAUAUAAUGAAGAACUAUGCUCGUGCGUUUUAAUUUUUAA